rnacentral:lncRNA from 1 species
CCUAUAAGAACUAAACAUCAAUGAUUUAAUUGAGGCAUUGACUGUUGUUUAUUAUGAUGCUGAUCAAUCCUUUAUUAUUUUGCAGAUAUGUGACAGUGAUUGCUAUACCCAUAACAAAUGUGAAUGUGUCAUUUGGUGGAGCAACACAUGAUGCUUAUAUUCGGAGAGAGUGUGAUGUUAGAAGCCACUUGGAAGGUCUCCAGAAUUAAACAGUUUAUCUAUUAGGUGACUCUGGGUAUGCUCUAAGGGAGCAUAUGAUGACACCUAUAGAUAAAGCUCUUGAAGGCAGAUACAACUUUGCAGAGCUUUGUUAGUGCACAUUUUGAAAGGAAUAGGUAGGACAAAGUUCUACUCGAGCACAUCAUAACAUGUUCAACUAGAACUAUAUUAAUUAUCGAUUUUAAGAAUUUGACAUGAUAUUAUUACUUUUAAUAAAAGAGAGUUUAAUAAAAGAAUAAAAUAUAUGCUUAAA